rnacentral:rRNA from 1 species
UACGGGGGGAGCAAGCGUUGUUCGGAUUUACUGGGCGUAAAGGGCGCGUAGGCGGCCACCGCAAGUCAGUUGUGAAAUCUCUGGGCUUAACCCAGAAAGGUCAACUGAUACUGCGGGGCUAGAGUGCAGAAGGGGCAACUGGAAUUCUCGGUGUAGCGGUGAAAUGCGUAGAUAUCGAGAGGAACACCUGCGGCGAAGGCGGGUUGCUGGGCCGACACUGACGCUGAUGCGCGAAAGCCAGGGGAGCGAACGGG